AAUUUAAAAGGAUUUGUGUUAGCAGUCUUUUCGUCUUAAAUUUCCCCUGAGUCAUGGAUUGGUGUUAUUUCUUGUUUUUGGUGCUAGGCUGCGUCUCAUUUCUUUGGCUGCGUCUCCUGUCUCUGCCUGUGUCUUAAAUCUUCAUACUUUUCCCAUAGUGUGCACUGGGACGCUUUCUCGCAUGGAUUUAAACUCUCUCUAGCCAAUGAUUACACCAUUCAUAUAACCAGGAACCAAUAUCCGAGAUGCCAUCUUUUAGAAGAAAAAGAGCCACGCUGGUUUACAGAGACCUGACUAGAGGCAUGAUAGAAGUACUGGAAGAACAGAGCCGGUUCCCUCUGCAGCAGAAGUUGUGCCCAGCUGCAGUGAUGCACCUCCUCUACCAACAUAAAAAAAAGGUAAG